ACACUCCUACGGGAGGCAGCAGUGGGGAAUCUUGCGCAAUGGGCGAAAGCCUGACGCAGCCAUGCCGCGUGUAUGAUGAAGGUCUUCGGAUUGUAAAAUUCUUUCACCGGGGACGAUAAUGACGGUACCCGGAGAAGAAGCCCCGGCUAACUUCGUGCCAGCAGCCGCGGUAAUACGAAGGGGGCUAGCGUUGCUCGGAAUUACUGGGCGUAAAGGGAGCGUAGGCGGACAUUUAAGUCAGGGGUGAAAUCCCGGGGCUCAACCUCGGAAUUGCCUUUGAUACUGGGGGUCUUGAGUAUGAGAGAGGGGUGUGGAACUCCGAGUGUAGAGGUGAAAUUCGUAGAUAUUCGGAAGAACACCAGUGGCGAAGGCGACACACUGGCUCAUUACUGACGCUGAGGCUCGAAAGCGUGGGGAGCAAACAGGAUUAGAUACCCGAGUAGUCCCAUGAU
rnacentral:rRNA from 1 species